rnacentral:rRNA from 1 species
GACGAACGCUGGCGGCGUGCUUAACACAUGCAAGUCGAACGGAAAGGCCCUGCUUUUGUGGGGUGCUCGAGUGGCGAACGGGUGAGUAACACGUGAGUAACCUGCCCUUGACUUUGGGAUAACUUCAGGAAACUGGGGCUAAUACCGGAUAGGAGCUCCUGCUGCAUGGUGGGGGUUGGAAAGUUUCGGCGGUUGGGGAUGGACUCGCGGCUUAUCAGCUUGUUGGUGGGGUAGUGGCUUACCCAGGCUUUGACGGGUAGCCGGCCUGAGAGGGUGACCGGCCACAUUGGGACUGAGAUACGGCCCAGACUCCUACGGGAGGCAGCAGGGGGGAAUAUUGCACAAUGGGCGGAAGCCUGAUGCAGCGACGCCGCGUGCGGGAUGACGGCCUUCGGGUUGUAAACCGCUUUCGCCUGUGACGAAGCGUGAGUGACGGUAAUGGGUAAAGAAGCACCGGCUAACUACGUG